GGGCGAUUAGCUCAGUUGGCUAGAGCGUGCGGAUCACACCCGCAAGGUCACAGGUUCGAGCCCUGUAUCGCCCAUCA
rnacentral:tRNA from 1 species